rnacentral:lncRNA from 1 species
CACAGACCCCAAGAUGUCAAAGCAUCACAAUAAGAAGGUGCAUUUAAUAGAAGAAGGAUGAGCACAUGAGCUGGCACCUAUGGUGGUCAUAUGCCUUCGGAGCAUUGGAUAACAAGUCUUCAAGAAAGGAGGAGAAAAUGGACUUCAGCGAAUGAAAAAUAAAAGUUCCCAGAUCCCAGGGACUUUCAGGCUGCUCCCACCGCAGAGCUGGCCAGCGUCCUUUGAGGCAGAGAGAUGCU